rnacentral:snRNA from 1 species
GCGCUACUUUGGCAGCAUAUACGCUAAAAUUGGAACAAUACAGAGAAGAUUAGCACGGCCCCUGCACAAAGAUGACACGCAAAUUUGUGAAACAUUCUAUAUUUAA